UUAGGUGAUAAAUAAGCUUGAAACUCUCUAGUCAACACUGGAUUUCCUCUGAUAGCAGUGGCUCAACGUUUGAUCAACUCCUGAUUCCAACAAUUUCCAAUCACUUGUUGCGAAUCUAAAUCCACCUUAUCUCUUGAAAUAAAAUAUUGAUAAUAGAUCCUUAGUAACUUUUUAUCCAGUCUAAACUUCAUCAACACUCUCAGAGAGGGAAAGUUGUCUUAUAAUUGUGUAUUCCUUAACAAUAUUUCUUUACUUAGAUCAACAUUAUCAGCAGAUAUCAACUCAACAUCAAAGUCACCGCAGAAAUCUAGUUUGAAGUAAGCUCGAUAAUGUCCAAAUUAAUAUCCAAAUCAGCAAUUUUCAUCCUUAUCUCAAUGUUCGUAAUCCAAACGCUCUCUAUGCGUCUAUAUUUGCACAAAAGAAAAUUCGAAAGCAGCUGUGAUGGUAAAUUCGAUUUAUCCCAAUAUGCUCGUCUUGAUCGUGUCUGUGAGGAUUGCCUCGAGUUAUACAAAGAUUAUGGUUUACACGAAACAUGCAAAUCCAAUUGUUUCAAUAAUGUUAUCUUUACAAAAUGUGCGACGAGUGUCUUGCGGGAAAGCGAUGCCAACACAUUAAUACAAAAGGUGAAAGAAAUUUCGCCACCGAAAUCUAAAGAGAAUGUUUAGAAAUCUAAAGAAUCAAAAUGUUCUUGUUGAAUAAAUAUCAACAAUAUUUCAAUAUAUUAUUCAAUAUCCAGACUAUCUAAGGUCCGGUGAUAUCAAUUACAUUGUAAAUGUAAUUUUAAUUUUUUAGAUGAAAAUCUAGUUUGGAUAACAAAACAUGUCUGAUGAUUUUCAAAGGUAAUUUUGUUCAUUUUAUUCAAUAAUAUGUGAGUGUUUAAAAUUAAACACAAUGCAGAACGAAAAAUAAGAAUAAAGGAAAUGUAUUGGCAUUUUGGAAGUAUGACUUUAUAUUAUAAAGAAUCAAUAAGAAUAGUAAUAAUAAAAUCAGAUGAUGGGACUACUAA